GUGUCAUUGAACAUUACAGCCGAGUCAAAAACUAUUUCUCCUCCGUGAAUAUAAACAACAACUGCACAAUCUUUGGAUUUCUGAAA
ensembl:ncRNA C01B10.47 ncRNA